UACAUACAUAAGUUAUUUAUGUCACCUUUUUCAUAAUUAUCAAGAAAAGCAUAUGUAAAAAAAAAACAUAGAGACCGGAAAAAAGGGGGAAAAAAAAAAAAGAAUCGCCAAACAACUCAAUCGCUCAAUUUAAAGACAAGAAAACUAAAAACUUUGUUAACCUUAUAUAAGACUGAUCAAGGCGUAAAGGACAUAAACAAUCCUUCGCUUUUUUGUUCAUUCCAAAAACGGAUGCCUAAUUUCUAUUACUUUUCGGAGUAUAGACUUAUAAAAAAAAAAAAAAAAAAAAUUAAGUUGAUGUAUAAAUUUCUAAAGUACCUGAACAAUAAACAUUUUUUAUAUGGCAAUAACGUUAAAAAAGGAAAAAAAAAAAAAUAAUAAUAAUAAUAAUUGUAAACUUAUCGGACCGAUCAAUAUGUUAUAUUAAUAUAUAAUCGGUUCUUCUUUAAAAAGACAAGCCACGGGCUCCGACUUACGUGUAAACUAUGCUACAUGUCGAUGUACAAAUCACACCAACACCUCCACCCAUAUUCGGCACAGCAAGGAGCAUCAAAGGAAGAACCUCGGAGAUAGCGGGAGACUUCAAGAAUCAACGGAUCUCCUCAAUACUCUUGUAUAACCUGGCAUAUACAUUACAGUAUUACUGCCAACAAUCUUGGACUACAGAGUCCAUAAAGCC